rnacentral:piRNA from 1 species
CUCGGACUUGGACUCUGGGGAGGA